UAUUAUUUUAAUAAAUCUUCGAAUCCUUCUUAUUACCUCAUUUUCUUCUUUCUUCUCCAUCUCCCGUUUUCUUAUUCACUGUCUUUACUGUGCUCACAGUUUCUCUAACCUAGUUGUCCAGUGUCAAUAUUGCUUCACGGUUCACCACCGUCUCCUCUCCACUGCAGUUCUCGACUUGGACUCAUUUUUCACGAUUCGUCAGGGAAUGUGCGACAGUAUCCUUCGUCGUUGGUCCCUCAUCGNUUUUUCUGUGUCGGAUAGAGUAUGUUCCUCCAUUAAGCAAAAGAAGCGCUUUGGAAGCUUUAUGGAGAUGCUAUUUGGUGGGCGCUAUGUGCUACUUUUGAUGUCUCUAUUUUCUAUUUAUCGUGAGUUAAUAUACAAUGAAUUCUUCUCUGUUCCUUAUCACAUAUUUGGUGCCUCUGCUAACAAAUACCGAGAUAAUACAUGCAGGUGUCUUUUAUUUCUCACUUUCCAUUGCCAGUUUCAAUUCUCUCUUUUUUUGGGUGCCAUAAUGUGGA